GCCCCGGGCUUGCCCGCACCAGACUCCGGACGGGGUAGGGGCCAAGUGCAGGACCGUGGCCGCUUCUGGGGCUCGAAAUCCGGAUCUAUCUCAACGUUUGAGGGAGGCUCGCCGUCGUUACGCGCCGCCUCAGCCAUGUAUUCCUCCGUCUGCAUCUCUGUGAGCCGAGACACUGUCCUCUGGAAGGCGAAUUUCUCCUCUUCUCCACUGAAGAUGGACAGACUGCUGGCUUCAUCCUGUCAAACACAACUCAAGUUGAUGAAAGCUCCUAUAAGGGACACGGAAACAUCAGAACUGGACCGUGAAGAAACGGAAGGAGGCCCAGGUCGUCCAUGAGAAUGUGGCUCUCGUCGUGACCGUGAUCCCCGUCCAGCACAAAAAUGUCCUCCAGUGGACGGUCGGCCAGAAUCACCACCCGCACCUGAAACAAGAGACCUAUAAUUAAAUUCAGAGAAUUCCUC